AUGUUCAAUAAAGAGACGAAUAAACUUUCUCAGCAUUUCUAUGAUUGCUGCAAACACUGCAAAUGCCUUAAAAAAAAAAGAUAUCAAGCUUUCAGGACCUUACCGUCUCUUCUUCGCAGUUAUUCAGAUUAUCGCGAGAUGUGGAGGUUGUUCACGGGUGUUUCAUGUUUCUCGCAGUUUGAAUCCACGAUCUUUAUAAGCUUUGGACUUUCCCCCUGCACUGUCAGAGCGUCCCACCAGAGGCGUAUAGAGCAGCAAUUCUAUGCAAUGAUUCGGAUGUUCAUUAUACAGAGUAAUACAUGAGUUGAUAACCUCGCACAGCCUGCAGAUGGGUCAACAAUUUUCUGGAGAAGUUAUGUUAUGGAUCAUAAGACUAUGGGGCAAAUAAAGUGUUUUAUCUGUACAUUAACAUGCUUUAAAAUUUAUAUUUGAAUGUUGUGCACUUAAUUGAGUCAAGUGGAGGGGCUGUGGUUUUACAAAUAGCAUAUUUUAAUUGCUGUGUAAAUCAACCUUAACCAACCCACUUAUCCUUAACCUUUAGCCAACAUAGGGAUGUCUGGAACACUGACCUGUUGUUUUGAUAUGGAUUUUCAUUUGAUCAUACUCACAUUAAUGUAUAACCUAAAAGGUCUUUGUACAUUUAAUAAAUAAACAAUUACUUAUUGGUUUCUGAUCACUUCAUGUGAAGUGGGCAGACAAUAAGAUAGAGAACUUUGCUAUGCUAUAAGAGGUGUACCAGGCUAACGACAGUCGAAGUCAGAAGUUUACAUACACCUUAGCCAAAUACAUUUGAACUCAGUUUUUCAUAAUUCCUGACAUUUAAUCCUAGUAAAAAUUCCAUGUCUUAGGUCAGUUAGGAUCACCACUUUAUUUUAAGAAUGUGAAAUGCCAAAAUAAUAGUAGAGAGAAUUAUUUCAGCUUUUAUUUCUUUCUUUCAGGAUUGAGGUCAGGGCUUUGUGAUGGCCACUCCAAUACCUUGACUUUGUGGUCCUUAAGCCAUUUUGCCACAACAUUGAAGUAUGCUUGGGGUCAUUGUCCAUUUGGAAGACCCAUUUGCGACCAAACUAACGUCUUGAGAUAUUGCUUCAAUAUAUCAACAAUUUUUCUUGCCUCAUGAUGCCAUCUAUUUUGUGAAGUGCACCAGUCCCUCCUGCAGAAAAGCACCCCAACAACAUUAUGCUGUCACCCCUGUGCUUCACAGUUGGGAUGGUGUUCUUCAGCUUGCAAGCCUCCCCCUUUUCCCUCCAAACAUAACAAUGGUCAUUAUGGCCAAACAGUUCUAUUUUUGUUUCAUCAGACCAGAGGACAUUUCUCAAAAAGUUCGAUCUUUGUCUCCAUGUGCAGUUGCAAACCAUAGUCUGGCUUUUUUAUGGUGGUUUUGGAGCAGUGGCUUCUUCCUUUCUGAGCGGCCUUUCAGGUUGUGUCGAUAUAGGACUAGUUUUACUGUGGAUAUAGAUACUUUUGUACCCGUUUCCUCCAGCAUCUUCACAAGGUCCUUUGCUGCUGUUCUGGGAUUGAGUCGCACUUUUCAAACCAAAAUACGUUAAUCUCUAGGAGACAGAACGCGUCUCCUUCCUGAGCGGUAUGACAGCUGCGUGGUCCCAUGGUGUUUGUACUGAUGAACGUGGUACCUUCAGGCGUUUGGAAAUUGCUCCCAAUUUUCCAAAGUGUUUAAAGGCACUGUCAACUUAGUGUAUGUAAACUUCUGACCCACUAGAAUUGUGAUACAGUGAGUUUUAAAUGAACUAAUCUGUCUGUAAACAAUUGUUGGAAAAAUUACUUGUCGUGUGUAACAGUAUAACUUUAGUCCGUCCCUCUCCUCGCUCCAACCUGGGCUCGAACCAGGGACCCUCUGCACACAUCAACAGUCACCCUUGAAGCAUCGUUACCCAUCGCUCCACAAAAGCCGCAGCCCUUGCACAGCAAGGGGAACCACUACUUCAAGGUCUCAGAGCGAGUGACGUCACUGAUUGAAACGCUAUUAGCACACACCACCGCUAACUAGCUAGCCAUUUCACAUCGGUUACACUCACCCCCCUUUUCAGCAGAAACCAGUGAUCCGGGUCAACAGCAUCAAUGUAACAGUAUAACUAGUCCGUCCCAUCGCCGGGCUCGAUGGCAGUCAGUAUCUAAACAAUGUGUGUGAAAUGCUUGAUAGUGUAUGUGAUGUAAACAGAGGUCUACUUUCUUGGGGACCUGAAUUUUGACUGGUUUUCAUCAAGCUGUCCACUCAAGGGAAAGCUUCUCACUGUAAUCAGUGCCUGUAAUCUGGUUCAGGUUAUUAAUCAACCUACCAGGAUGGUUACAAACACUACAGGAACAAGAUCAUCCACAUGUGUCUAACACAUUUUUACUAAUACUGUAGAACUUUGUUCUAAAGCUGUAUUCGACCCAUUGGAUGUAGUGAUCCAGGAAAUAUCCAGGAAAGCCAAAGUUCAAAAUGCUGGGCCUAAAAUAGUAUAUAAGAGAUCAUAUAACUUAUUUUUUUGUGACUUUUAUGUGGAUGAUGUUAAAAAUAUUUGUUGGUUUGACGUGAUUAAUAAGGAGCAUCCAGAAGCUGCACUUGAUGAAUUUAUGAAAUUCCUUCUUCCAAUUAUUGAUAAACAUGCACCUGUUAAGAAACUGACCGUUACAACUGUUAAGGCUCCAUGGAUUGACGAGGAAUUGAAAAACUGUAUGGUUGAAAGAGAUGGGGCAAAAGGAGUGGCUAAUAAAUCUGGCUGCACAUCUUACUGGCUGACUUACUGAACAUUUAGAAAUUGUGACUAAACUCAACAAAAACAAGAAUAAACUGUAUUAUGAAGCCAAGAUUAACGAUAUAAAGAAUGAUGGGAAAAAACUUGAGUAUUUCAAAUUAAAUUAUGGGCAGAAAGACAAAUUCAACAACUCAUCACAUCAGAUGGCUUUUUCAUUACAAAACCAUUUGAUGUUGCCAGUUAUUUUAAUGAUUACUUCAUUGGCAAAGUGGGCCAACGUUGGCAGGAAAUGCCAACAACGAACAGUGAACCAUCGUAUUCGUGCUUAAAAAAGCAAAUAAUGAAAGAAAAGCAUUGCAUGUUAGAAUUUUGUAAAGUCAGUGUGGGAGAGGUGGAAAAUUAUUAUUAUCAAUCAAUAAUGACAAACCUCCUGGCAUUGACAACUUGAAUGGAAAGCUACUCAGGAUGGUAGCUGAUGCUAUAGCCACUCCUGUCAUGUCUAAUCUGAGUUUAGAGGAAAGUCUUUGUCCUCAGGCCUGGAAGAAAGCCAAAGUAAUUCCUACCCAAGAGUGGUAAAACGGCCUUUACUGGUUUUAACAGCA
rnacentral:lncRNA from 1 species